rnacentral:sRNA from 1 species
GUUCCCUAUAUUUUGAUUGGCCAUCCAUUUUCACAUUGAAACUAGGAAUUUAGAGUUAGACACAUUGGUGAAGUUGAAAAAUUCCUCUAUACUCUUGUACUUGUUGACUUUGACCUUGUAUCCUCUGUUGGCCAUGUUGGCCAUGACAUAAUAUUGUCCUUCAAACACCUUUCUGCUGAAGAAAAUUGUGUUCUGCAUUUAGCAAUAUUCUAAGUCCACAAAAAAAACAGACAUGGCAAAACAGAACCAUACAUGCAUUUGGAUUUAAAUAUUAUGUAAUAAAAUUCAGAUCAUGUAUAGACUCUCGAUGAUAUUUCCUUUAGAGUAUGUUGUUAGUACUUUCCUUCUGGUCCUUGCACCCACACUUUUAAGUGAUUUCCUACAAACUUUUGAGUGUAUACCUUGCUGGAGUAACAGAGUAGCUAAAAGAGGGUCAAUGAUUGCAGAUUGUGUCUGCCAAAAGUGGCAGUAACUGGGUUAGUUCACUCUUACUUUGAAUGUUCAAGUCGAUCUCUCUUUUUGCUUCUGAAUGAAGAAAUGGCUAGGAAGAUUUUUGUGCCUGUUCCUUGUUCUAAAUGUUCAAGCGGGUGCACUUGGAAAGGAACCUACUAUUUCUUUGCUUUAUCUGUAGGCAAGAGUCAUUUUAGUUUAUAAAAAAUUUCUGAAAAUUGUCAUGCAUAGUAUCAUAGUAAUGUUGGUUCUUAGAGUUGAUUCAAUGGACUUUUAGGAUAAUGUUAAUAGAAAUUGAGAAAGUUCUACUUGGAUGAUUGAACCCACUACUUUGUGCUGUUCCAAGAAAUGGAGCUGUGUGGGAGAUCAAAGUGCAUUCUGUCAGAGGCUGCGUAAUGGAAUGAUUGCGUGUAAUAAUCGAUUUCAAUCAUUCUGUCUGUAAUAAUCGAUUAUCAUACUUGGUAAUUGAUUAUUAACUACAGGACAAGUUUAACGGAUAGUCUAACUGUUAGGGGUUGGAAGGUAUACGAGAGAAGAAGAAAGUAUAUGAGAGAAGAAGAAGGACACUGAACGAUGAAGAGCAGGGAGAGGUUGAGCCGAACGGUGGAAGGCGGUAGAGGAGAAGAAGAAGAGCACCGAAUGGUGGAAGGCGACGAAGAAUCGAGCCAAACGGCUGAAGAACUGGAGCCGAUCGAUUGAAGAAUCCUAACUGUUGUAGCAGUGAGGCUGGGCGGGAAAUAAUUAUAGUAAACAGAGUUAUAUCAUGGGAAAAUAUUCAGUAUAAGAUAAUUAUAGUAAAUAGAGCUAUAUUAAGAGAAAUAUUCAAUAUAAGAUAAUUAUAGUAAAUAGAGCUAUAUUAUAGGGAAAUAUUCAGUAUAAGAUAAUUAUAGU